rnacentral:rRNA from 1 species
GACGAACGCUGGCGGCGUGCCUAAUACAUGCAAGUAGAACGCUGGAGGAGGAGCUUGCUUCUCUGGAUGAGUUGCGAACGGGUGAGUAACGCGUAGGUAACCUGCCUGGUAGCGGGGGAUAACCAUUGGAAACGAUAGCUAAUACCGCAUAAGAGUAGAUGUUGCAUGACAUUUGCCUAAAAGGUGCAAUUGCAUCACUACCAGAUGGACCUGCGUUGUAUUAGCUAGUUGGUGGGGUAACGGCUCACCCAGGGGACGAUACAUAGCCGACCUGAGAGGGUGGACGGGCAAACUGGGACUGGGGCAACGCCCAGGACUCUACGGGAGGCAGCAGGAGGGAAACUUCGGCAAAGGACGGAAGGCUGAACGAAGAACGGCGGGGGAGGGAAGGAAGGCCUCGGAUCGGAAAAGUCCGUUGUAAGGGAAGAACGAGUGUGAGGGUAAAAAGUGCACGCUGUGACGGUACCUAAAGAGAAAGCGACGGCUAACUACGUG